UACGUAGGUGGCAAGCGUUAUCCGGAUUUACUGGGUGUAAAGGGCGUGUAGGCGGGACUGCAAGUCAGAUGUGAAAAUUACGGGCUCAACCCAUAACCUGCAUUUGAAACUGUGGUUCUUGAGUGAUGGAGAGGCAGGCGGAAUUCCGUGUGUAGCGGUGAAAUGCGUAGAUAUACGGAGGAACACCAGUGGCGAAGGCGGCCUGCUGGACAUUAACUGACGCUGAGGCGCGAAAGCGUGGGGAGCAAACAGG
rnacentral:rRNA from 1 species